rnacentral:rRNA from 1 species
GUGCCAGAGCCGCGGUAAUACGGGGGGUGCAAGCGUUGUUCGGAAUCAUUGGGCGUAAAGCGCGUGUAGGCGGCUUGACAAGUCAGAUGUGAAAUCCCUGGGCUUAACCCAGGAAGUGCAUUUGAAACUGUCUGGCUCGAGUAAGGGAGAGGAAAGUGGAAUUCCUGGUGUAGAGGUGAAAUUCGUAGAUAUCAGGAGGAACACCGGUGGCGAAGGCGACUUUCUGGCCCUAUACUGACGCUGAGACGCGAAAGCGUGGGUAGCAAACAGG